GUCUCUCUAAAAGUUCUUCUAAGAUGUUCCAUGAGGAAAAUAUUUGGAGACCUGAACUGAAGGGGC